rnacentral:rRNA from 1 species
UACGUAGGGUGCAAGCGUUGUCCGGAAUUAUUGGGCGUAAAGCGCACGUAGGCGGAUCUUUAAGUCAGGGGUGAAAUCCUGGAGCUCAACUCCAGAACUGCCUUUGAUACUGGGGAUCUCGAGUCCGGGAGAGGUGAGUGGAACUGCGAGUGUAGAGGUGAAAUUCGUAGAUAUUCGCAAGAACACCAAUGGCGAAGGCAGCUGGCUGGGACGGUACUGACGGCUGGAGGCGCGAAAGCGUGGGGAGCGA